UUUAUAUAUAUAUUAUAUUUUAGUGAUUUUUUUUGGUGUGAUAAACUGUAUAGCAAUCACCUACGUGUAGUGGUACACAACAGGUUUUGCAAAUAUAUUUCCUUUUGAAAAGCAUACGCUAUACGUUCUAGUUAAAUUUGUUUUUAUAUCAGUGAUUUUAGAUCAUUCUUUCUAAACAGUGUUGUUUAAUUGCCCUAAAAGCCUAAAAAGCUGACUCACGAUUGAAAUUCUUGCAACAGUAAAAUUGCGAUAAAAACCUGAAUAAAAGUAAUUUUUUUUUAUAAUAAAGUGAAGACUAAAGUAAGAAAGACUUCACAAUAUUAUCCCUGAGUGUCAGAAAUUAAAAUAGCCAAUGCAAACGCGGUCAACAAUGUGUUAACAGGAGAAUCCUACGUCGAAAGAUGAAUGACCUUCGCAGAAUCACCACUGAUCGUUCGACGAAGAUAUCGAUGACGCCAAGGAAACACGGACUCGCUCCUCGCCCGCUUCUCGUGAAAACUCGGCGGUUCACCACGUUCUGUUCCAACGACGAGUUGAACAUUGUUUUUCCAGAACAACGUAUAUAUACAGGAUGGGAAGAAAUGUUUCACGGAUGAAUUCCACGAGUUUCAAGGUCAAACUUUUUUUUUUUUUUUUUUUUUUACAUUUGUAUUCUACUCGAUCGAGGAAGGACUCGGCCAUCGAUUGUGUAGCCUAAUCUUUUGAAAAAUGGGCGAGAAAGUUCAUUUAAGAUUGGCGAAAAUUAAAUUGAGAUUCGUUGACAGCGAGUGCAGUUACCAGAGGCGACUUGUGGAGAGUCUCUCUUUACGGUCCGCAGUUUCAGCUGACGUUAGCUAAUCGGUUGUAUUCGUCAAACGUUCUUGCCAUUUUUCCUCCGGACGAGUUUUGACCUUCUGAUCUACCUAACGAGUGGAGUGCGAAUAGCGAUGUAAAUAAAAAAAAAUAUAUAUAUAUAUUUUUUGACGUUGGAAUUCAAGGUCAAGGGCAAUUUCGCGAAGGUUCCUUAAAUCGAGCACGACGUGGAAUUCCUAUGUUUCUACGAUCGCCAAAGGUUAAACAUUUCUUUCCCAUCGUGCAACACACGAAAGUUGCCAGUCAGUGCGGCCAACCGUACGAUUAGGCGUCCCCUAAACGAUACAUUUACCUCCGAGAAGGCAAACCGCCGGAACGAUUACUCGGCGAUAAAUGCGACGAAUCGCGUAGCAAUUUACUCGUUGUACAUACUAUACAUAUUAUACGUACAAGUACGUGAAUAUUCGAUAUGGCGAUAAAUGUUAUUGUAUUAUUAUAUUUUAUAAUAAAACUGGAAUAAACGAC